GAGAGAGGAAAGAGGGUCUGAUUUUUUAACGAAGGGAAAGAAAAUAUGCCAUUUCUAGCGCUUCAGCCACACAAAGAAAGCGGCGGAAUGAUCCGCUCUCGGCGACCGCAAGUCCCGGCUCGCCCGGCGCCUGCGCGGCAGCGGGGGUGGGAGCUGCGGACGGCCAUGUGCGCGGCGGAGAGGCCGGGUGGCCGCCGAACCUUCCCGCCUGUUCUGCGGUGGGUAGGAGUUUGGAAACUAAUGUUCCUGUGCUAACCUUCGUGUCUCUGUGACAUGACUGUUGAGAGACGGAGAGUGCGAAAUCUUUGGAGUUUAAGCUUGCCAACUGAGCGGCCUAGCAGAAUCCUGGGAGACGGAAGGACAGCCAAGAGGCUAAGAUUUACCUUUAAGUGUCCCUAGAUCAACUAGGCAGACUGGGACGGGAGACGCUGUGAAGGGGCGUCUGGGCAUGGCUUUCCCAACCUAGUAACUGCAACUUCUAGCAUCCUACAUGUAGGACUUGGGAAUAUGUGAGACAGCGCCAAGAAUUUAAUCCAGGAGAAUUGACAAGCUUAAAUGAAAUCCAUAUUGCCCACUGAUUUUGUGCAGCUUCAGAUAAGUAAUCUUUCUCCACUUAGCCUUUUGUAACAAUUGAUGUAAUAAAGGUUUGUAGUCUUUGCGUAAUUUAUUAAAGCAUUGUGCCUAAAAUAGAAAAAAAGCGUAGGAAC
rnacentral:antisense_RNA from 1 species